rnacentral:rRNA from 1 species
GAUGAACGCUGGCGGCGUGCCUAAUACAUGCAAGUCGAGCGAACGGACGAGAAGCUUGCUUCUCUGAUGUUAGCGGCGGACGGGUGAGUAACACGUGGAUAACCUACCUAUAAGACUGGGAUAACUUCGGGAAACCGGAGCUAAUACCGGAUAAUAUUUUGAACCGCAUGGUUCAAAAGUGAAAGACGGUCUUGCUGUCACUUAUAGAUGGAUCCGCGCCGCAUUAGCUAGUUGGUAAGGUAACGGCUUACCAAGGCAACGAUGCAUAGCCGACCUGAGAGGGUGAUCGGCCACACUGGAACUGAGACACGGUCCAGACUCCUAAGGGAGGCAGCAGUAGGGAAUCUUCCGCAAUGGGCGAAAGCCUGACGGAGCAACGCCGCGUGAGUGAUGAAGGUCUUCGGAUCGUAAAACUCUGUUAUUAGGGAAGAACAUAUGUGUAAGUAACUGUGCACAUCUUGACGGUACCUAAUCAGAAAGCCACGGCUAACUACGUG